rnacentral:lncRNA from 1 species
AUUUUUUACCGCGGCGUGCUGGCGCGGGGUGAAGAAAUUUGGAGAAGCAAGGAAGAAAAAUAGAGCAUAUUUUUUUAUCAAACUUUAACUUUAUUGGAAGGUAAUAUGCUUUAUUUAAUAUCAAUCCUUGUAGUAGAGUACUUAGAUUGCCAAUAUAGAUGGAAAUUUAGGACAUCGAACCCGAAUUUAAUGCGAUAUUUCGACAUAAAGUUUGUGCUUUUGCUUUGCACGUGGUUCGCUUUAUGGGCGAUUGUCGAACUUUAAACCGUUCUUUAAUUCAUAAUCAUUGUCGACCAAGUGAGUAUAAAGACUAACUAAGAUCUAGAAUUGUUUACUUUGCCGAAAAAAGUUGUUGUUAUCUGUGAGUUCUUGCCGAAAAUUGUGUUUUUGUUCAUUUUAUAUGCAGAAAAGCCUUGCUUUUUAUAUCGCAACAUUACAAAUUUACAAUGUAUUUGAUUCUUGCUUGUGAAAAUUGCUAAGCCUAGUUCUCAUUCAUCGCCAACCGUCACCGACGAUUGGCGACGGUUAUCACAGAUGCUCACCGAUGCUUGCCGAUCGCGAAUGCACGAAAGUUCUCAUAUAUCGGUGAUCGUCGCAGAUGACAGCCGAUGUGUUUCGAAAUUUCCCACCAAGGCACAAAAUGGCCCUGUUUAACGUAAAGUUCAUGAUUUCUGUCAAACUUCAGUUGAUUAUUUCCUUGCUUGUUGAGGAAAAAAACUUUUACUCAUUUCUCAUAGGUUUUUCAAGCAGGUGGCAGUCGGCGAUGGUCGCAAAAACAAACUUUUUUGUUUCCUGCGAUGUCAUCGCCGAUGGUUGGCGACGAUUACGGACAAUCGGCGAUAUAAUUUUUGAUGUGUUCUCAUAAAUCACAAGUGGUCGCUGACGUCGCAAAGCUCCCAUUGCCGACGGUUUGCAAUGAAUGAGAACUAGGCUUAACAAUAAGACAAAAUCCAGAAUUGUGUUUCUUGACAUCACUGCAGGCUGGUAGUGAAAAGUUAGGAGAUGCGGUCAUAUGUUGGUGGGACUUCUCGGUACCAAUUUUUUCCGUGCAGGAUUGUGUGAUCCAUGCACAAGGGAUGUUGCAAGACUUUCAGAAAGUGUAAAAAUACUCGAGCCGCAGGCUAGUGUAUUUUUACACUUUCCAAAAGUCGAGCAACAUCCCAAGUGCAUGGAUCUCGCUAUCCUGCUUGGGAAACCAUUUAGUAAUUGUUUUAUAAAAUAACUACAGUGCUACAAUGACAUUUUGCGAAUUCCAAAGUGCAAAUGUAUUUUAAUUCCUUGUGCAAGAUAUAGCCUGAUCCUGCACAGCUUAUUGACCAAUCAAAUUGCAUGUUUCACUGUAGUUAUUAUAUAAUAUAAGUUCUUAGGGUGGUUUGAAAAGAAGAUUGUUCUUUUGAAGCGCAUCUACUCCAGACUCAAUGUAAAGCCUUUUUUCGACAUGGGCUGGCAAGGAUUCAGAGAAUGCUAAAAAAUAGAAAGGACAGUAUUUGUUAAAUUUAAAAGCAUAUUAACUUGAUUUACCAGUACAGCAGAUGCCUGAAGUCGAAAUGAAGUUGAAAAAAAAAUCCAAUCAAAUUUUAACAUUUCCAAUUGACCAUUUGCAUAAUAGACUAUAUUUUUAUCUAAACAAGUCUAGACAAAAAUUUCAUCACAGCUUGAAAGAGCAUCACAAAAUUAGUAAUAUUCCAAAGUUUCGUUGCGAAAUGUUGUAAAAUGUGGAAAAUAUAGUCUUGCAAAGUUUGCAAUUUUCAGUCAUUUUAGAUUACAAACGGGAAAUUGACAGCCUCAGAGGGUUUGGUGCUGUCAAUUUCCCAUUUGUAAUCUAAAAUGACUGAAAAUUGCAAACUUCGCAAGGCUAUAUUUUCCGCAUUUUACAACAUUUCGCAACGAAACUUUGGAAUAUUACUAAUUUUGUGAUGCUCUUUCAAGCUGUGAUGAAAUUUUUGUUGAGAUCAAAAUUUAGUCUAUUAUGCAAAUGGUCAAUUGGUCGGCAUUUUUCUGAUCAAUUUUGAACAUUACAAAAAAUGUGGUUCAGUUUUCAUAUCCUGAAAAAUGUAGGAUAGGUAGGUCAAAUAAAACAAAUUUUCUUCAAAUAUUUUUUGGCUUGACAACAUUGGUCAGCAAUUGUUGUGAUCAGUUGGCAUAUUGCGCAAAAUUCAAAUUUUGCGAAUGCAAAAUCAUCCAUUUUGUGAAUAGCGUUUUGCAAAAACAGUGUGUCAAAGGUUGAUUUUCACAAUCACUUUGAAUAUAUUUUGCUAUAAUGGAGUAUUUUGCUGAUUAUUAUUGUAUUUUGUACUAAAAGGAUGUGUGAAAUGAAGAAUAUGGCUACAAUUUCUUUAGCCUGCGUAGCAGGCGCUAUUUAGGGGGGGGGAGGGCGAAAAAUGGAAAGGGCGAGAAAGAAAUAGCGCCUGCAGGAAAGCCAUAUGUUUUCUCAUAUUUCGCGUCCGUGAGCGGACGCGAAAUUCUGAUUGGCUAAUCAGUCAUCAGGGGUUUCCCAAUUAUAUUCCCUGUGGUUUUAGUUCAAAAUAGCGGCCUUAGUAUUGACGAAGUUCUUCCUAAAGUGAUUAGCUGUAUUUAGUUGGCGACUGGCCACUGUAUUCAACUGAAAGAGGAGCAAGAUAAAGCAGUUCGGGACCUUUUAAAAGGGAAAGAUGUUUUUGCUGUAUUACUGACAGGUUUAUGGCAAAAGUUUGAUUUACCAAGCUUUCGUACGAGCGCGUGAUUAUCAUACGUCAGGGAAAGCAGCUAUUAUUGUAACAUCCCCAUUGAAUAGCGUUUAUAUUAAAGACCAGCCAAAAGAUAUGGAAUGGCAAUGUUUCUCGUCCGUGGAUGUUUAAAUCACUAUAAUUACUAUAAUCACUAUAGUUUAUACGCUAUAAUCACUUUCAACUUACUAACUUAUAAUCUAUUCGCUAUCAAUUGAUCGAGAAAGUUGCCGCUUCGAGUUGCUGUCGUUGUUGUUAACAACUUGUCCUGCGAUGGGGAAUCUCCUUCUGUGUCGAGGAAAAGACUUUCUAGUACUAGAUUUGACACACACAUUUAAUUUCUUUCUUUAUACACUUCCGUUGUGUGAUUUCUUGGCAACUGCGUUUUGCUUAUCUCGCUCAGGUCAUCUGAAACCGUGUUAUUUUGUUCUUUAAUUAUCGUUCUUCCUUUACAAAUUUAUAUAGUUCAGCAACGUUCCUUAUUUUCCUUACAAGGUUUACACACUCGAUCAACUUAAAGCCAAUGGACUCGCACGCGUUCGCUGAAAUCAAAUUCUGACUGCAUUGUCUGUCUGACGGCUUACACAAAUUUUCAAAGGAAGGCUCACUUUCACAUACUGUUUUUAGAUUGCUGUUGCAAAACCUGCAUGUAUCGUUAGCGCUUGCCUAUUUCGCUUUUCUACCUGCUUUUUUACAAUUUUUUUUGCGUUUUAAACAUAGAAAUACACUUUAUAGUGUACACACGCAUUAACUAUGAUUAUGCAUACUGUUGUGAAACCAGAUCUGUCAUUGGGAAAACCAUUAGUUGCGUCUAAUCACUGAUUGGCUUGUUUUUUAAUGGGCGGGACUUGGGCAGAUGGGAAAACAUAUGGCUUUCCUGCAGGCGCUAUUUCUUUCUCGCCCCUUCAAUUUUUCCUCGCUCUCGCCUUCGCAUUCCCCCCUAGCUUUUCCCACCCUUGCCCUCCCCCCUAAAUAGCGCCUGCUAUGCAGGCUACAAUUUCUUCAGAAUAUUUACAAAAUAAUUUUGCUACGAAACGACUGCCAUUUUGUUUUUUUUGCAAGCAGUGUUUCCACUUUUCAAAACUAAAAUUUCCUUCAAAUUUUCAAGAAGGAAAUUUGCGAAUCGAUUCUUCCUGUUUAAUUAGCCAUUCCGAAGUUGACAAAAGGACUGGAGACGGGCUUUAAAAAGUGCCCAAAUUAAGAAAUGAACCAACCAAAUCACUAAAAAGACCACCUCAAAAUUAGUAAAUAUACAAAGUUUGAAGAUGUUCGAAAAUUGUGAAAUUACUAAUUAAAAGAUUGUUGUUGGGAUGUGCACAGACCUGCUAAGUUUGGAAGAUAAGAAUGUGUGACCAGGGCUGUUGCGAGGAUUUUGCCUUGGGGGGGGGGGAGGUUAGAUUUACUGCCUGAAUUGUUUCAAUUCACCUGAUUUUGCAAUGCCUGCAAGGUGUCAUCAUGGUUUGCGCCAAGCAAAAAAAGUUGAAAAUUUGAAUUCUCUAGACCAUCGGAAAUAGCAUUUUUAGAGUCUUUCCUACCCAAGAUUUAAAUGUUUUACUACUGCCUAACAAUGAAGAUAAGUAAAAUAACUACCGAUCAAUAUGGCAGUGUUACUUACAGUUUAAUGUGGCUAGGACAAUUGAGAAAAUUUUGGAAAUUUUGAGUCUCCAGAUCGUCAGAAAGCGUAUUUGGCACCACAGGCCACGAUGCGUCUGACGCUAAUUCUGACGUUAACUCUAAUUCUACGUUUGCACAAAGCGUUGUCAAUGAGUUAUUGUACGAAAAGUGGGAUAGUGUCAUAUAAUGGUAAAAAUGCGUAACUUUAAGAUCAUUUUAGUUAUGCAUGCGGGACAGCGGGAACAAAAGCAGAAUGCAUAACUUUCACGCGAAAUGCGGGAACCUUGGCAGGUCUGCACGCAUCCCAAACAACGAAUUACAAUACAUUUCAUAGUAAAUAACACAAUUUUCGAAAGCUAUUAUUCGAAGGGUAUUCAUGUAAAUGUCUUCAAACUUUGUAUACUUACUAAUUUUGAGGUGGUCUUUUUAGUGAUUUGGUUCAUUUCUUAAUUUGGGCACUUUUUAACACUGGUUCCCAAUCCACUCAUCAACUUCGGAAUGGCUAAUUCAAACCCUGUUUCCCCAACAUAUAAACAUUUCAAGAAGCACUAACUGUGAGCAACAGACAAUAUUUUUGGUAUCAAGUUACAUCAUAAAGCAAACAACAAAAAAUAGAGUAGGUAGGUAAGCAAACAACCCAACCAUAUCUAGAAGAGAACCCAUUAGAGCAGAGCAAAUAGGGUUGGCUGAAAAAGUAAAACCAUAGGAUAUUGUUUUGUUUCAGACUCAUAUGUUUAUAUUGGGUUUUAUCUCACUAACCAAGCUAUUCACACCCUCAGUAAAAUUCUCAUAAUUUUUUGUAGAUGUACAGUUCAAGUUCCAAGAAUGUUGCACAACCCCACAUUCCAAGAUCCUGAAUAAGAGGUAAAUUAUUUUUCUUCUAUUUAUUUCUAACCUUCUCAGGACUUGUAUUUCUUGGACAAUUUUCUUUGUAAUAUAUUAAUUUGUUCCAUAUUCUCAAUAGUGAGUUUUUUAAAUUUUCUAGAAUCUAGAUGUGUGUUGCUAUUUCAAAGAAUGUCUCGAGACUUGUUGGCUGAAGUGUUUUUGACCACAAAAGUGAACACUGUUAUUGGAAAGUAUAUAAAAGGUCUUAAUAUUUUCCUGUCUUAUCUUACAUGAAAUGUUUUGAACAUUAUAUGAUUGCCUGUGAUCAGUCCCAGCAGAAUAUUACAAAAAUAGCAUGACCAUGUUACUUAUGACACAAAAUACAACAAAAAAUAAUAAACACAUUCUAAAUAUGGUGAGUGCGCA